CCUACGGGAGGCAGCAGUGGGGAAUAUUGCACAAUGGGCGAAAGCCAGAUGCAGCAACGCCGCGUGAGUGAAGAAGGCCUUCGGGUUGUAAAACUCUUUUCCAGGGGAAGAGGAAGGACGGUACCCUGGGAAUAAGCCUCGGCUAACUACGUGCCAGCAGCCGCGGUAAUACGUAGGAGGCGAGCGUUAUCCGGAUUUAUUGGGCGUAAAGGGCAAGUAGGCGGUUGUCAAAGUCGUGCGUGACAGAUCCCGGCUCAACUGGGAAAGGUCGUGCGAAACUAGGCGACUGGAGGGCAGAAGAGGAAAGCGGAAUUCCUAGUGUAGCGGUGGAAUGCACAGAUAUUAGGAAGAACACCAGUGGCGAAGGCGGCUUUCUGGUCUGAACCUGACGCUGAGAGGCGAAAGCUAGGGGAGCAAACGGGCUUAGAUACCCCUGUAGUC
rnacentral:rRNA from 1 species